UACGUAGGGGGCUAGCGUUGUCCGGAUUUAUUGGGCGUAAAGAGCGUGUAGGCGGCCAGGUAGGUCCGGUGUGAAAACCUCGAGGCUUAACCUCGAGAUGUCAUCGGAAACCAUCUGGCUAGAGUCCGGAAGAGGAGAGUGGAAUUCCUGGUGUAGCGGUGGAAAUGCGCAGAUAUCAGGAAGAACACCAAUGGCGAAGGCAGCUCUCUGGGACGGUACUGACGCUGAGACGCGAAGCGUGGGGAGCGAACAGG
rnacentral:rRNA from 1 species